UACGUAGGGGGCAAGCGUUGUCCGGAUUUAUUGGGCGUAAAGAGCGUGUAGGCGGCCAAGCAGGUCCGCUGUGAAAACUCGGGGCUCAACCUCGAGAGGUCGGUGGAAACCGUUUGGCUAGAGUCCGGAAGAGGAGAGUGGAAUUCCCGGUGUAGCGGUGAAAUGCGCAGAUAUCGGGAAGAACACCCGUGGCGAAGGCGGCUCUCUGGGACGGUACUGACGCUGAGACGCGAAAGCGUGGGGAGCGAACAGG
rnacentral:rRNA from 1 species